rnacentral:rRNA from 1 species
GACGAACGCUGGCGGCGUGCUUAACACAUGCAAGUCGAACGGAAAGGCCCUGCUUUUGUGGGGUGCUCGAGUGGCGAACGGGUGAGUAACACGUGAGUAACCUGCCCUUGACUUUGGGAUAACUUCAGGAAACUGGGGCUAAUACCGGAUAGGAGCUCCUGCUGCAUGGUGGGGGUUGGAAAGUUUCGGCGGUUGGGGAUGGACUCGCGGCUUUUCAGCUUGUUGGUGGGGUAGUGGCUUACCAAGGCUUUGACGGGUAGCCGGCCUGAGAGGGUGACCGGCCACAUUGGGACUGAGAUACGGCCCAGACUCCUACGGGAGGCAGCAGUGGGGAAUAUUGCACAAUGGGCGGAGGCCUGAUGCAGCAACGCCGCGUGCGGGAUGACGGCCUUCGGGUUGUAAACCGCUGUCGCCUGUGACGAAGCGUGAGUGACGGUAAUGGGUAAAGAAGCACCGGCUAACUACGUG